UUUAUGCCACCGCAGCAUCUGCGAUGCGGUGGCAUAUAGCGAUUCACCUGUGUGUGUGUGUGUGUGUUUGUUUGUUUGUUUGUUUGUUUGUGUGUGUGUGUGUUAUAUAGAUUAUAUAGUGAACUUAAAAAAUCUUCUUGUGAAAAACCACUAGUCCAAUUUCAACCAAACUUGGCAGGAUUGAUCCUUGGGUGAAGGGCUUCCAAAGUUGUUUAAAGAAUUUAAUUCCAUGCAGAAAUCUGGUUGCCAUGGCAACCAAAAGGAAUUAUAAGAAUAAAUUUAAAAAAUCUUCUUGUAAAGACCCAAAAGGCCUAGAGCUUAGAUAUUUUGCAUAAGGCAUUGUCUCGUAGACCUCUACCAAGAUUGUUCAAAUUAUAGCCCUGGGGUCAAAAUCGGCCCCGCCCCGGGGGUCAUUGAUUUUCACUAUAUGUACAUAUAGUAAAAACUUAAAAUACCUUUUUGUAAAGACCCAUAGGCCUAGAGCUUAAGAUAUUUUGCAUAAGGCAUUGUCUGGUAGACCUCUACCAAUAUUGUUCAAAUUAUAGCCCUGGGGUCAAAAUCAGCCCUGCCCCGGGGGUCAUGGAUUUUCACUAUAUGUACAUAUAGUAAAAAUUUAAAAUACCUUCUUGUAAAGACCCAAAAGGCCUAGAGCUUAGAUAUUUUGCAUAAGGCAUUGUUUGAUAGACCUCUACCCAGAUUGUUCAAAUUAUAGCCCUGGGGUCAAAAUCGGCCCGGCCCCGGGGGUCAUUGAUUUUCCUCAUAUUUACAUAGUAAAAACUUAUAGUAAAAACUUUAAAAAAAUUUCUUCUAGCAAUUGACAAAUGCUAGAGGUUAGAUACUUUGCAUGAAACAUUGUGAAGUGAACCUCUAGCAAGAAUGUUCAAAUAAUAGCCCUGGGGUCAAAAUUGCCCCCACCCCGGGGUCAUUGAUUUUCAAUAUAUACAUAUAGUAAAAAUCAAAAAAAUCUUAUUGUCUGAAGGUACAAGGCUUAGAGCUUUAAUAUUUGUUAAAUGAUAUCAUCUAUAGGUACUCUACCAAAGUUGUUCAAAUUUUGCCUCUAGUGUCAAAAUUAAAAGUGAACUUUGAUAUCAGCUGACCUAGAUUUUGACAAAGUGUAUUACAUGUUGUCCUUUGAUGCAGUCAUGAAAUUUUAGGCUGUGUGAAGUAUGACCUUCACGUCCAAAUUCACUAGACUCAAGUGCAUUGAUAUAUUCCUACUCUGAUCUUUUAUUGAGUUAACAAUAGAUUUAACCACUAAUCUGAUAAUAAGAAUUAGAUAUGCAUUAUGACAAUCUUCAAUUGUAUAGCAGGGAAUUCCCCAGGCGCUUUUAGCGCAUCGGCACCGAUGCGCUAAAAUUUCAGAACAAGAAAUCCCGAUGCGCUUAAAAUUAUCAUAGCGCUUUAAAAAAUGACCGAUAUCCCUUUCUUUUGUGUCUAUAAGUUAACCCCAAUUAGCCCCAUUUAGCCAAAUAAACAAGCCAAUAUACAUGUCCUGUGUAGAUAAUUACCCGAGGCGUAUACACAACCCGAUACACUGAUUGCCUUCGGCUGUGUGACGUCACAGACACCUGUCAUCGAUGUCUGCAGACGACUGUUGGUGCACUUUCAGGUGUUGUCAAUAACCGUGUAUUGAGAUGGGUGCAAUUAAACGCGGCAUGUGUGAUAUUUACAUGUUUCAGGCCCUCUUUAUUCGAGCCUGUUCAUGGACAGCUUUGUGAAGUGCAAUCUACUGUCCUACCCCUUAGCAUUGGUUUGUCAGGACAUACAGGAGCUGGCCUGCAGGCACUUUGGUGUAGAUAUGGAGCAGUGCCGCAGCCACUGGCACCAGGUACGUGCCAGUCUAGAGGGGACUGAUCAGUCAGCCGACCAGACCAUGACCUGGAUUACUGGCAACCUUUCUACCAGUCAUCCAGCUCUUUACAGAAUUGCUGCUGUGGGUCUCCUCCUCCCAACCUCUACUGCAGAUUUUAAGCGAGGAUUCAGCUGCCUGAAGAGAGUUAAGACUGAAAACAGGAAUUGUCUCUCUGUUAAAGUUCUAAACUAUCUUCUUGCCGUCUCCCUGUAAGGACCCCCAUUAGAAUCUUUCAACUUUGAGAAGGCAGUCAAGGCAUGGAAGGACAACAAACCUAGAAGACAGGCCCUCUUUUAAUGAUGUUAAUGAAGAAAAAACAACUGAAAUAUACUCAUUUAAAUAGGACACACACAUACAUAUAAAUGUUGAUCACAUUUUGUGAACUUGUGUUUAUAUAUAAUUGUUUAUUUAUUUGAAUUGUUGGAAAUGUAAAAAGUAAAUAAUAAAAAUUAAGAAAAUGUUUAUCAAGUGAAAAGCUUUCAUUAUUUUUUAAAACAGCCCACAGCAGUAUCUUGACACCUUAUAUGGCAAAAAUUUUCGACACGCGGUAUGGGGGUCAAGACCCCCUCCCGCACCCACCCCCGUCUUAUUAAAAAAUUGUAGCGCUUA